AAAUGAAUAGACGGGGGUCCGCACAAGCGGUGGAGCAUGUGGUUUAAUUCGAAGCUAACCGAAGAACCUUACCAGGGAAUGACAUGGAGAUAAGGGUAUAGAGAUAUAUCCAAGUAUUACUUAGGUGAUACAGUCUCACACAGGUGGUGCACGGCCGUCGUCAGCUCGUGCCGUGAGGUGUUGGGUUAAGUCCCACAACGAGCGCAACCCCUACCAUUAGUUGCCAGCGAGUAAAGUUGGGCUACUCUAAUGGGACAGCCGUCGACGAGACGGAGGAAGGAGGGGAUGACGUCAGGUAAGCGUGCCCCUUAUGCUCUGGGCGACACACGUGCUACAAUGGUACGGGCAGAGGGCAGCGAAACUGCGAAGUGAAGCGAAUCUCAUAAACCGUGCCGUAAUUCGGAUUGUAGUCUGAAACCCGACUACAUGAAACCGGAAUCGCUAGUAAUCGCAGGUCAGCCAAACUGCGGUGAAUACGUUCCCGGACCUUGUACACACCGCCCGU
rnacentral:rRNA from 1 species